rnacentral:rRNA from 1 species
AUUGAACGCUGGCGGCAGGCCUAACACAUGCAAGUCGAACGGUAACAGGAAGCAGCUUGCUGCUUCGCUGACGAGUGGCGGACGGGUGAGUAAUGUCUGGGAAACUGCCUGAUGGAGGGGGAUAACUACUGGAAACGGUAGCUAAUACCGCAUAACGUCGCAAGACCAAAGAGGGGGACCUUAGGGCCUCUUGCCAUCGGAUGUGCCCAGAUGGGAUUAGCUAGUAGGUGGGGUAACGGCUCACCUAGGCGACGAUCCCUAGCUGGUCUGAGAGGAUGACCAGCCACACUGGAACUGAGACACGGUCCAGACUCCUACGGGAGGCAGCAGUGGGGAAUAUUGCACAAUGGGCGCAAGCCUGAUGCAGCCAUGCCGCGUGUAUGAAGAAGGCCUUCGGGUUGUAAAGUACUUUCAGCGGGGAUGAAGGGAGUAAAGUUAAUACCUUUGCUCAUUGACGUUACCCGCAGAAGAAGCACCGGCUAACUCCGUG